rnacentral:rRNA from 1 species
UUAAGCGACUAAGCGUACACGGUGGAUGCCCUGGCAGUCAGAGGCGAUGAAGGACGUGCUAAUCUGCGAAAAGCGUCGGUAAGGUGAUAUGAACCGUUAUAACCGGCGAUGUCCGAAUGGGGAAACCCAGUGCAAUUCGUUGCACUAUCGUUAACUGAAUACAUAGGUUAACGAGGCGAACCGGGGGAACUGAAACAUCUAAGUACCCCGAGGAAAAGAAAUCAACCGAGAUUCCCCCAGUAGCGGCGAGCGAACGGGGAGCAGCCCAGAGUCUGAAUCAGCUUGUGUGUUAGUGGAACGGUCUGGAAAGUCCGACGGUACAGGGUGAUAGUCCCGUACACCAAAAUGCACAGGUUGUGAACUCGAAGAGUAGGGCGGGACACGUGGUAUCCUGUCUGAAUAUGGGGGGACCAUCCUCCAAGGCUAAAUACUCCUGACUGACCGAUAGUGAACCAGUACCGUGAGGGAAAGGCGAAAAGAACCCCGGCGAGGGGAGUGAAAAAGAACCUGAAACCGUGUACGUACAAGCAGUGGGAGCACCUUCGGGUGUGACUGCGUACCUUUUGUAUAAUGGGUCAGCGACUUAUAUUCUGUAGCAAGGUUAACCGUAUAGGGGAGCCGCAGGGAAACCGAGUCUUAACUGGGCGUUAAGUUGCAGGGUAUAGACCCGAAACCCGGUGAUCUAGCCAUGGGCAGGUUGAAGGUUGGGUAACACUAACUGGAGGACCGAACCGACUAAUGUUGAAAAAUUAGCGGAUGACUUGUGGCUGGGGGUGAAAGGCCAAUCAAACCGGGAGAUAGCUGGUUCUCCCCGAAAGCUAUUUAGGUAGCGCCUCGUGAACUCAUCUUCGGGGGUAGAGCACUGUUUCGGCUAGGGGGUCAUCCCGACUUACCAACCCGAUGCAAACUACGAAUACCGAAGAAUGUUAUCACGGGAGACACACGGCGGGUGCUAACGUCCGUCGUGAAGAGGGAAACAACCCAGACCGCCAGCUAAGGUCCCAAAGUCAUGGUUAAGUGGGAAACGAUGUGGGAAGGCACAGACAGCCAGGAUGUUGGCUUAGAAGCAGCCAUCAUUUAAAGAAAGCGUAAUAGCUCACUGGUCGAGUCGGCCUGCGCGGAAGAUGUAACGGGGCUAAACCAUGCACCGAAGCUGCGGCAGCGACACUAUGUGUUGUUGGGUAGGGGAGCGUUCUGUAAGCCUGCGAAGGUGUGCUGUGAGGCAUGCUGGAGGUAUCAGAAGUGCGAAUGCUGACAUAAGUAACGAUAAAGCGGGUGAAAAGCCCGCUCGCCGGAAGACCAAGGGUUCCUGUCCAACGUUAAUCGGGGCAGGGUGAGUCGACCCCUAAGGCGAGGCCGAAAGGCGUAGUCGAUGGGAAACAGGUUAAUAUUCCUGUACUUGGUGUUACUGCGAAGGGGGGACGGAGAAGGCUAUGUUAGCCGGGCGACGGUUGUCCCGGUUUAAGCAUGUAGGCUGAUUGUCCAGGCAAAUCCGGAUAAUCAAGGCUGAGGUGUGAUGACGAGGCACUACGGUGCUGAAGUAACAAAUGCCCUGCUUCCAGGAAAAGCCUCUAAGCAUCAGGUAACAUUAAAUCGUACCCCAAACCGACACAGGUGGUCAGGUAGAGAAUACCAAGGCGCUUGAGAGAACUCGGGUGAAGGAACUAGGCAAAAUGGUGCCGUAACUUCGGGAGAAGGCACGCUGGUGUGUAGGUGAAGUCCCUGCGGAUGGAGCUGAGACCAGUCGAAGAUACCAGCUGGCUGCAACUGUUUAUUAAAAACACAGCACUGUGCAAACACGAAAGUGGACGUAUACGGUGUGACGCCUGCCCGGUGCCGGAAGGUUAAUUGAUGGGGUUAUCCGUAAGGAGAAGCUCUUGAUCGAAGCCCCGGUAAACGGCGGCCGUAACUAUAACGGUCCUAAGGUAGCGAAAUUCCUUGUCGGGUAAGUUCCGACCUGCACGAAUGGCGUAAUGAUGGCCAGGCUGUCUCCACCCGAGACUCAGUGAAAUUGAACUCGCUGUGAAGAUGCAGUGUACCCGCGGCAAGACGGAAAGACCCCGUGAACCUUUACUAUAGCUUGACACUGAACAUUGAGCCUUGAUGUGUAGGAUAGGUGGGAGGCUUUGAAGCGUGGACGCCAGUCUGCGUGGAGCCAACCUUGAAAUACCACCCUUUAAUGUUUGAUGUUCUAACGUUGGCCCCUUACCGGGGUUGCGGACAGUGUCUGGUGGGUAGUUUGACUGGGGCGGUCUCCUCCCAAAGCGUAACGGAGGAGCACGAAGGUUAGCUAAUCCUGGUCGGACAUCAGGAGGUUAGUGCAAUGGCAUAAGCUAGCUUGACUGCGAGCGUGACGGCGCGAGCAGGUGCGAAAGCAGGUCAUAGUGAUCCGGUGGUUCUGAAUGGAAGGGCCAUCGCUCAACGGAUAAAAGGUACUCCGGGGAUAACAGGCUGAUACCGCCCAAGAGUUCAUAUCGACGGCGGUGUUUGGCACCUCGAUGUCGGCUCAUCACAUCCUGGGGCUGAAGUAGGUCCCAAGGGUAUGGCUGUUCGCCAUUUAAAGUGGUACGCGAGCUGGGUUUAGAACGUCGUGAGACAGUUCGGUCCCUAUCUGCCGUGGGCGCUGGAGAAUUGAGGGGGGCUGCUCCUAGUACGAGAGGACCGGAGUGGACGCAUCACUGGUGUUCGGGUUGUCAUGCCAAUGGCACUGCCCGGUAGCUAAAUGCGGAAGAGAUAAGUGCUGAAAGCAUCUAAGCACGAAACUUGCCCCGAGAUGAGUUCUCCCUGAGACUNUCGAUUGACGUUACCCGCAGAAGAAGCACCGGCUAACUCCGUGCCAGCAGCCGCGGUAAUACGGAGGGUGCAAGCGUUAAUCGGAAUUACUGGGCGUAAAGCG